CCUACGGGAGGCAGCAGUGGGGGAUAUUGCACAAUGGAGGAAACUCUGAUGCAGCGACGCCGCGUGAGGGAAGAAGGUCCUCGGAUUGUAAACCUCCGUCUUUGGGGAAGUAAAUGACGGUACCCAAAGAGGAAGCUCCGGCAAAUUACGUGCCAGCAGCCCGGGUAAUACGCGGGGAGCGAGCGUUGUCCGGAAUUACGGGGGGUAAGGGGAGCGUAGUCGGGAGGGAAAGUUGAGGGGUAAAUCUACCGGGUUAACUGGUAGCUGCGUUCGAAACUGUUUGUCUAGAGUGUAGUAGUGGCAGGCGGAAUGCCUGGUGUAGCGGUGAAAUGCGUAGAUAUUAGGAGGAACACCGGUGGCGAAGGCAGCCUGCUAAGCUUUAACUGACGCUGAGGCUCGAAAGCGUGGGGAGCAAACAGGAUUAGAUACCCUAGUAGUC
rnacentral:rRNA from 1 species